rnacentral:ncRNA from 2 species
ACAUAGUUUCAGGGAAGGUGCAAUUCCUUACUGGCGGUAACGCUAGGCCGGGUCCAUAACCGGUAUUCGACGCGAAGCCCGCAACCCGCAUGACGCGGUUGAUCCGGUGUGAAUCCGGGGCCAACGGUUACAGUCCGGAUGGAAGAAACGGAAG